AUCGGCAAUUUAAUAAAACGGCCAGCAAAAGAGCCUAUUUUUAUUUUUUUAUAUGCCCUCCAAAAGCAAGCCCUCUAAUUUUUCAUUUCCCUCUCUUCUCUAACUCAUCCCCCUAUGGCUUUUUGGUAUUCAUCUUCUUUUGUUGUUCUUGCCUUGUCUGUCAUCUUUCAUUUAGCCAACAAAUGCACUCUCAUCGUUUCAUAUUUUGAAGAUCAUGGUGUUAGAUUUACUCCGGUCAAAAAGGUAACGGCUAACUGAACCUCAAUUUAAGGGGAAAUUCUUUGUACAAGAUCAGCUUAUGUCUCUCAUUUGCAUUUUUUUUUCCUCUUUAUGAGUAUCUGAUUUGUUCAUGCUUCUUGUUGUUGAUUGGAGUAAAUAAGCUGUCUCGUUUCUUUCUUCUUCAAUUUUACUGUGCUAUAUGUUAGUUUGAUCUUUUAGAUCGGCAUUUCUUUGUGCUCAUUUUGUAACCAUAGGAGACUGGGUUUAAUUUUCUCUCUAUUGCUUGUGAUUUGGUAUGAUUCAUAUUCAUUUGUUUAUACUAUAUUAGUAGUUGUGGUGUUUCCUCAAGAGGAAAAAUUAAGAAGUCUAUUUGGUGUUUGAUAAAAUGUGACAAAAGAGAUAAUGUUAAUGACUAUAUAAUGGUAUAUUGUUUUGCAAAUAGUUCCUUAAACCAUUGAAAGAUGAGAUUUCUUUUUCAGACAUUUGUAGUUUAAAAUCCUUUUAGUUAGAUUAGCAAAGAAAAAUAGAAUUACCUCUUAGUUAAAUGAGGCUGUUAAUAUCGUGUUGUUGGUUCUACUGGAGCGAAGAUAUUGCUUCAACUCUGAGAGCACCAGAGCUUUUUCAGCGUUCUGACUUGCAAACAAUGACACUAUAUUUCUUACUAAAUGUUUUCAUUUUAUAUUUGUCACUUUAACUAAGACUUCAGCAUGAUGGUCUAUGUCAAUGACACUUAAUCUUGUUGCAUUGAUUGGCAGGAUUAGCUAUUAAAAGUUUUAUAUGUUAUAAGCUAACGUUAUUUAUUCAGUAGCUAGUACCAUGCCAUUUCAAUGGUGUGUGCCUCUACUCAUUUAUGAUGACUUUUGAUUUUACCUAUACAUCCUGCUUCUAUUCUCAUUUUAAUAUAGUGUAGGAGUGCUUCCAUGUUAUAUUAGUAAAAGUGAUGAUCCUGUUACUGCUUUUAUUUCCUAAAGGUCGAGCUCUAAGAUUUGUUUUCUUUAACUGACUAGACAGUAAGUAGGAUCACAUCUCAUGCAUCCUAGCUUACACUUAUUCAUUAAGUUCAGUUGGAAUGUACUAAUAAAACAAAAUCAAUUGGCAUGAUCAUGUAUCCUGGGGAAUAUGUGGAAAGAAACAUGUUUUGAAAUAUAUAUGUGUACACUUUUUGGGGUUUUAUUACCGAACUGUAUGCUAUAGCUGACUAAUUACUUUUUUUUUUUUUUUUUUAUGACAUGAGAACCCGCUAUCCUUCGGGUGCGCACAGGGUAAACCCAGCCCCUGUGCAAUAGCUCGCAAACCACACAGGAGAGGUAACCCGCACUAGGAAAGCCCGGUGCGACGAGCUCGACCCAGAAGGCAAAUUCCCUGCUAUCGUAGGCAGGGGGAUUCGAACUUGAGACCUCCAUUAUGAAAGCCCCAUGCUCAACCAACUGAGCCACCCUUGCGGAUAUUCUGACUAAUUACUUAGCUAGAGAUAUCCCCUUGCUAAUUUUACAGGAAACCAGUUGGAAAUUUGGGGUCGGAAAACUACAACGCUCCAGAUACUACGGAAAACACUAACUAAUGCAAGAUACCAUACAAUCAGUAAGAUAAAUUAGUCUAUAUUUUUACAUUAUGGCAAUUAUAAGAGGAACACAAAUAAUGCUGGUCAAAUAUAUCUGCCAUAAAAGUAUAAAAUUCUUCAACUUUUUAUGCCAUUUCGUCGAGUUUCCUAGUAAUUGCAGUGUAUUCUGCUACAAUUCCUAAAUGGCCAUGCUUCUUCAAUUUUUUCCUCAUAUUUUAGUGCAAGGGCAACAAAAAGAUGUUAUAUGGUACAUGAAAGAAUCAACUAUAGUUCUAUAUGUGCUGAAAUGACAAGGGAAAUCAAUAAUGAUGAGGAAGCUUUACGAAAAUACGAUGGUAAAAUUCGAGAGGUAGCAAAUGAAGUUACCCCCAUAAAAUGGUGGAACACCAUUGAGUAGAAUGUAUAGAAUAAUACAUACUUCACUUUUCAACAAAACGGAAACCAAAAAAAUAAUUGGCUACCGCUGAUUUGGCACGAGCUCACCAUUUAGCGCGCACCUCAUUCUGUAUAUCCAACAGCUCUUAUGUUGUCUGUUGUAGGGAGUGCGCGCUUUGUAGAGCUUGACGAGACUGAAUUACACAUAUUGAGCAAUCUUCUUUGACUGAACUGACCACUUCAUGUUGCGUUUGAUAAACUUCAUCAUAGUUUCAGAGCUACAACUUCUUAAUUACUUGAAAGUUCCUCUCAGAUUUCCUUUCAUUUCAACUUUGGUGAGACCCCUGAAUCACCCAUCUGACCUUCUUAUUGUAUACCUAUAAAACUUCCAUGUAUCAGCUCUACUCUUAAUCUCCAUCUCAUCUUAAAAGAUAGGGAAACAAUGAUACGGAGAUUAGGAGAAUCUAUGUAACGAAAUUCAUGUGUUUGAUACGUAAGCACUCAAGCCUAGAAGUCCAAUAUUGCUAGAGUAUUCCAUCUUGUCUAUAAUACCUUAUUCUCAAGUGGUCUUACUUCGCUAAUAAAAUACAACGGUAUUCCAUAGAAUUUUGUGCCUUUUCUCUAAAUAUCUGGUCAGAUUCAUGUGUUGCGUCCAUUAAUGCUUAUAUGUUCUUCGUUUAAUGAGGCUUUUGGAUAAAUAAUUAAUUUUGAUUUGAAACAUAAAGGUGCUGAAUAGAGUCCACUAAUUCUCACACGUGUCUUAUGGAUUGUGAUUCCCUUUGAAACUGAAGUUUGAUUCCUUAUUCUCUUAUGUCAGAUUUUCUCUUAAUCCUUUUUCCUUCACUAGUACAGACAUAUUGGCAUAUUCAGGCAGAAAAUAUUAAUGAUCUUUUGCUUUUUCAGUUAUUGAUGCUUUGAUCUUGUGCUAACAUGUUUCAUGGAAAUAACCCUUUUAUAUCAUCAAAUGAGUGAAUAAUUUUAAAUUUUGAUUUAACUCUGAUUUGUUCAUUUUUCUCUCAACUAGCGCAGAAAUGAUAAGGUUAAUUACGCUGCAAUAUCUUUUAUCUAGAUACAGACUUCCAUUGUGGCAAUGUUCUGACAAAGCAAGGCAAUUUGAAUUAGUAUCAAAAGAUGCAUCUGUGCCUGCCUUCUUUUUCAAAGAAAAAUUCCAUACAACUGUUCCAUUGAAUCAGGGAUGUUGCUUUCUUUGGUCUAUGGCUGCUUCUGGAAUCUUUUAGCUUCAAACAUGGUUGGUUCUGUGAGGACAACUGGUAGUUCUGCAAUGAAAGUGGAUGUGUUCAUUCUGCGAAGCUCUUUUUGACAGCUUUUGGAGUAUAACUUUAGUUUGAUGAGACUCUUCAAAGGUUGGUUGAAAGUUACAAUAUUUAGGGAAGAUUGGAGUUGUAAGUUGAAUGAGUUCUUAAUCUGAUGCAAUUUAGUCCAUCUUUUUGGUGCGCAAAUGAAUCUUCAAGCUGGAAUUUCAGGUGGGAGACAUUCGGUAUGAUCAAGAGCUACAGAGAUAUAUUUGCAGGGCUUGAAAUGACAUUAGAUUCAAAUGAUUAAUUUUUCCUCUUAUGUUGUUGAAACGUUGAAACUGUGGAUUGGAAGUUGUUUUUUUUUUCUAUG